rnacentral:rRNA from 1 species
CUCCCUACGGAGGCAGCAGUGGGGAAUAUUGGACAAUGGGGGCAACCCUGAUCCAGCCAUGCCGCGUGAGUGAUGAAGGCCUUAGGGUUGUAAAGCUCUUUCACCGGGGAAGAUAAUGACGGUACCCGGAGAAGAAGCCCCGGCUAACUUCGUGCCAGCAGCCGCGGUAAUACGAAGGGGGCUAGCGUUGUUCGGAAUUACUGGGCGUAAAGCGCACGUAGGCGGACAUUUAAGUCAGGGGUGAAAUCCCGGGGCUCAACCUCGGAACUGCCUUUGAUACUGGGUGUCUUGAGUGUGGAAGAGGUAAGUGGAAUUGCGGGUGUAGAGGUGAAAUUCGUAGAUAUUCGCAGGAACACCAGUGGCGAAGGCGGCUUACUGGUCCAUUACUGACGCUGAGGUGCGAAAGCGUGGGGAGCAAACAGGAUUAGAUACCCCGGUAGUC